GGAGCGUUCUGUAAGCCUGCGAAGGUGUGCUGUGAGGCAUGCUGGAGGUAUCAGAAGUGCGAAUGCUGACAUAAGUAACGAUAAAGCGGGUGAAAAGCCCGCUCGCCGGAAGACCAAGGGUUCCUGUCCAACGUUAAUCGGGGCAGGGUGAGUCGACCCCUAAGGCGAGGCCGAAAGGCGUAGUCGAUGGGAAACAGGUUAAUAUUCCUGUACUUGGUGUUACUGCGAAGGGGGGACGGAGAAGGCUAUGUUGGCCGGGCGACGGUUGUCCCGGUUUAAGCGUGUAGGCUGGUUUUCCAGGCAAAUCCGGAAAAUCAAGGCUGAGGCGUGAUGACGAGGCACUACGGUGCUGAAGCA
rnacentral:rRNA from 1 species